GACGAACGCUGGCGGCGUGCCUAAUACAUGCAAGUCGAACGCAGUGGGGACGGGUGAGUAACACGUGGGUAACCUCCCAUCAGAGGGGAUAACACUUGGAAACAGGUGCUAAACCGAUAUUGAUGGAUGGACCCGCGGUGCAUUAGCUAGUUGGGGAGGUAACGGCUCACCAAGGCCACGAUGCAUAGCCGACCUGAGAGGGUGAUCGGCCACACUGGGACUGAGACACGGCCAAGACUCCUACGGGAGGCAGCAGUGGGGAAUAUUGGACAAUGGGCGCAAGCCUGAUAGAGCAAUGCCGCGUGUGUGAAGAAGGUUUUCGGGUUGUAAAGCACUUUUAGCGGGGAGGCGGUACCCGCAGAAGAAGCAACGGCUAACUCCGUGCCAGCAGCCGCGGUAAUUC
rnacentral:rRNA from 1 species